UACAGAGGGGGCAAGCGUUGUUCGGAAUUACUGGGCGUAAAGGGCGCGUAGGUGGCCUUCUAAGUUGAACGUGAAAUCCCUGGGCUCAACCCAGGAACUGCGUCCAAGACUGGGAGGCUUGAAUCCGGGAGAGGGAUGCGGAAUUCCAGGUGUAGCGGUGAAAUGCGUAGAUAUCUGGAGGAACACCGAUGGCGAAGGCAGGUCUCUGGGCUGACACUGACGCUCAUGCACGAAAGCGUGGGGAGCAAACAGG
rnacentral:rRNA from 1 species